GAGAUGAACCUGAGAGUUUGAUCCUGGCUCAGAGCGAACGCUGGCGGCAUGCUUAACACAUGCAAGUCGCACGAACCUUUCGGGGUUAGUGGCGGACGGGUG
rnacentral:rRNA from 1 species